GCUGCCCUCAAGCACGGCUUGUGUGUUGGGCUUCCGUCCCUGGUAACGGGGACGGGCCCAAAAGGCAGUGGCGGCACCAUGUCUGGUCCUCGAGCGUAUGGGGCUUUGUCACCCGCUCCCGUAGGUCCAGCUGGCAGCUAGCCUCGCAACCAAUCUUUUUAACCA
rnacentral:misc_RNA from 1 species